GACGAACGCUGGCGGCGUGCCUAAUACAUGCAAGUAGAACGCACAGUUUAUACCGUAUCUUGCUACACCAUAAACUGUGAGUUGCGUACGGGUUAGUUACGCGUAGCUAACCUGCCUGGUAUCGUUGGAUAACUAUUGGAAACGUUAGCUAAUACCUCAUAAUAUUGAUUAUUUCAUGAUUAUUGAUUGUAUGUUUCUAUUUCAUCACUACCAGAUGGACCUGCGUUUUAUUUGGUAGUAGGUGAGGUAACGGCUCACCUAGGCGAAGAUACAUAGCCGAACAGAGAGGGUGAGCGGCCAAACUGGGAGUGAGACAAGGCCCAGAAUACUACGGGAGGGAGCAGUAGGGAAUCUUCGGAAAAGGACGAAAGUGUGUACGAGAAAAGACGCGGGAGUGAAGAAGGGUUUCGGAACGUAAAGCUCUGUUGUAAGAGAAGAACGGGAGUGAGAGUGGAAAGUUCACACUGUGACGGUAUCUUAACAGAAAGGGACGGCUAACUACGUG
rnacentral:rRNA from 1 species